rfam:Lutibacter agarilyticus strain DSM 29150 genome assembly, contig: Ga0170404_103
GGGGACGACUGGUUUUGACUGCAAGGUCAAUUAAACUGGAAGCAUGUCGAGUAAUGAAAUAGCACUCGUAAAUCUCAAUUUCAACUUUUUAAACGGCGAAGAUAACUACGCUUUAGCUGCUUAAUCCGAAUUAUAGUAGGAUGAGCCUCGGCACACUAGGUGUGCAAGCUAAAUGUCCACUGAUAGCCUUGGUUAACGGCGAUCAAUAUUAGGGCAUCGUAAAAGUUAACAUAGAAAUACUAUUGUUUCGUUAGUAUUUUGAAACUUAAGAAACUAAGUUUAAAGUGGGCGGUUUUCGGUCAGCUUUAGAUCUACAAUUAAACGAAAACUAAGCAUGUAGAAACCACUUUGGUUGCUUGUUUGGACCCGGGUUCGAUUCCCGGCGUCUCCACUA